GCAAAGCAGUCGAAAGGCUGUGACGCAAAGCCAAGGGUCUUAACUGAUUAACAUCAGAAUGACAGCCGGUUGCU
rnacentral:ncRNA from 1 species